rnacentral:rRNA from 1 species
AUUGAACGCUGGCGGCAGGCUUAACACAUGCAAGUCGAGCGGGGUGAUGGUGCUUGCACUAUCACUUAGCGGCGGACGGGUGAGUAAUGCUUAGGAAUCUGCCUAUUAGUGGGGGACAACAUCUCGAAAGGGAUGCUAAUACCGCAUACGUCCUACGGGAGAAAGCAGGGGAUCACUUGUGACCUUGCGCUAAUAGAUGAGCCUAAGUCGGAUUAGCUAGCUGGUGGGGUAAAGGCCUACCAAGGCGACGAUCUGUAGCGGGUCUGAGAGGAUGAUCCGCCACACUGGGACUGAGACACGGCCCAGACUCCUACGGGAGGCAGCAGUGGGGAAUAUUGGACAAUGGGGGGAACCCUGAUCCAGCCAUGCCGCGUGUGUGAAGAAGGCCUUAUGGUUGUAAGGCACUUUAAGCGAGGAGGAGGCUCUUUUGGUUAAUACCCAAGAUGAGUGGACGUUACUCGCAGAAUAAGCACCGGCUGACUCUGUGCCAGCCGCCGCCGUAA